rnacentral:rRNA from 1 species
UACGGAGGAUCCAAGCGUUAUCCGGAUUUAUUGGGUUUAAAGGGUGCGUAGGCGGAUUGAUAAGUUAGAGGUGGAAUGUCCGAGCUUAACUCGGGAACUGCCUCUAAUACUGUUGAUCUAGAGAGUAGAUGCGGUAGGCGGAAUGUAUGGUGUAGCGGUGAAAUGCUUAGAGAUCAUACAGAACACCGAUUGCGAAGGCAGCUUACCAAUCUAUAUCUGACGUUGAGGCACGAAAGCGUGGGGAGCAAACAGG